AGAGUUUGAUUAUGGCGUCAGGAUGAACGCUGGCGGCGUGCUUAAUACAUGCAAGUCGAACGAGAAACUUUGUCUUCGGAUAGAGGUUUCUAGUGGCGAACGGGUGAGUAACGCGUUGGUGACCUGCCCCGAAACGGGGGAUAACAGUUCGAAAGGACUGCUAAUACCCCAUGAUAUCAAUUGGAUUAGAUGCCUUUUGAUCAAAGGCGUAAGCCGUUUUGGGAGGGACCUGCGUCCCAUCAGCUAGUUGGUAGGGUAAUGGCCUACCAAGGCUAAGACGGGUAGGGGACCUAAGAGGGUGACCCCCCACACUGGCACUGAAACACGGGCCAGACACCUACGGGUGGCAGCAGUAGGGAAUUUUGGACAAUGGGCGAAAGCCUGAUCCAGCCAACGCCGCGUGCGCGAUGACGGCCUUCGGGUUGUAAAGCGCUUUUAGAGGAGAUGAGAAAGGACAGUAUCCUCUGAAUAAGCCUCGGCGAACUACGUGCCAGCCGCCGC
rnacentral:rRNA from 1 species